rnacentral:sRNA from 1 species
GCCAGGUGUGAUGGCUCACACCUGUAAUCCCAGCACUUUGGGAGGCUGAGGUGGGUGGAUCACUUGAGGUCAGGAGUUCAAGACCAGCCUGGCCAACAUGGUGAAACCCCAUCUCUA